AAUCCAAUUCUAGCCCGGCCACUUUGUCCAUGCUCAUAAAAACUAAAAAUCUACUACCUCUUAAAGAAACUAAAACAUUCUCUCAAGCCUAGUAUAGGAGAUAGAAAAGCAUUACCUUCCCGGCGCGAUAGAGACCUUGUACCGUAAGGGAGAGAUGAAAUAAUAGUGAAAAAACAAAGAAAAGAACAGCAAAGAUUAACCCUUGUACCUCUUGCAUCAUGGUUUAGCAAGAACAACCGAGCAAAAUGAAUUUAAGUUCGCCACCCCGAAACCUAAGCGAGCUACCCACAAGCAGCUAUUUUUCUGAGCGAACCCGUCUCUGUUGCAAAAGAGUGGGAUGACUUGUUGGUAGUGGUGAAAAGCCUACCGAGCUAGGUGAUAGCUGGUUACCUGCAAAACGGAUAUUAGUCCUACCUUGAUCCCUCCCUAUGGACACUCCCCCUAGCCCCUAUGUAGCGAAUUAAGAGUAAUUUAAAGGGGGUACAGCCCCUUUAAAAAAGGACACAACCUCCUCUAGUGGAUAAGUACUCAUUCCCCAACGCCCUGUAGGCCUUUAAGCAGCCACCAUCAAAGAGUGCGUCAAAGCUCCUCAAGCCCCCAUGAAAAAAUAUAAAAACAGUACAACUCCCUUACCGCUAGCAGGUCAAUCUAUGAUAAUAGGAGAAUCAAUGCUAAAAUGAGUAACUAGGGGAACCCUCUAAAGCGCAAACUUACAUUUCUCUCAAACUAAAAUUAUUAACAAGCCUCAAACAGAUACUUCAACCAUAACGAGACCUAAGUAUCGCCCUGCCUUGUUAACCCAACCCAGGGGCGCUUAUUAGAAAGAUUAAUACCUGUGAAAGGAACUAGGCAAACCCAAGGCCCGACUGUUUACCAAAAACAUAGCCUUCAGCAGACCAAGUAUUGAAGGUGAUGCCUGCCCAGUGACAACAUGUUUAACGGCCGCGGUAUCCUAACCGUGCAAAGGUAGCGCAAUCAAUUGUCUCAUAAAUCGAGACACGUAUGAAUGGCUAAACGAGGUCUUAACUGUCUCUCACAGGUAAUCAGUGAAAUUGAUCUUCCCGUGCAAAAGCAGGAAUAAACACAUAAGACAAGAAGACCCUGUGGAACUUAAAAAUCAACGACCACUACUCACUCACCCAAGCCCUACAAGGCCUACAUUACUUCAAUUACUGGUCCGUAUUUUUCGGUUGGGGCGACCUUGGAGAAAAAUAAAACCUCCAAAGACAGGACCUUAACUCUUGACCAAGAACAACCUAUCAACGUACUAACAGCACCCAGACCCAAUACAAUUGAUCAAUGGACCAAGCUACCCCAGGGAUAACAGCGCAAUCCCCUCCCAGAGCCCCUAUCGACGAGGGGGUUUACGACCUCGAUGUUGGAUCAGGACAUCCUAAUGGUGCAGCCGCUAUUAAGGGUUCGUUUGUUCAACGAUUAACAGUCCUACGUGAUCUGAGUUCAGACCGGAGUAAUCCAGGUCGGUUUCUAUCUAUGAUGUACUUGCCCUAGUACGAAAGGACCGGGAAAGUGGGGUCCAUACUUCAGGCACACCCCAUCUUCAAGCAAUGAACUCAACUUAAUUGCUAAAGACAUGCCUACAUAUUUAUCCUAGAAAAGGACU
rnacentral:rRNA from 1 species